rnacentral:rRNA from 1 species
AUUGAACGCUGGCGGCAUGCUUUACACAUGCCAGUCGAACGGUAACAGGCCUUCGGGUGCUGACGAGUGGCGAACGGGUGAGUAAUGCAUCGGAACGUACCCAGAGGUGGGGGAUAACGCAGCGAAAGCUGUGCUAAUACCGCAUGUGAUCUGAGGAUGAAAGCGGGGGACCGAGCAGCAAUGUUUGGCCUCGCGCCUUUGGAGCGGCCGAUGUCGGAUUAGCUAGUUGGUGGGGUAAAGGCCUACCAAGGCGACGAUCCGUAGCUGGUCUGAGAGGACGACCAGCCACACUGGGACUGAGACACGGCCCAGACUCCUACGGGAGGCAGCAGUGGGGAAUUUUGGACAAUGGGCGCAAGCCUGAUCCAGCAAUGCCGCGUGCGGGAAGAAGGCCUUCGGGUUGUAAGCCGCUUUUGGCAGGAACGAAACGGUGUCCGCUAAUACCGGGCGCUAAUGACGGUACCUGCAGAAUAAGCACCGGCUAACUACGUG